GUUACUAGCACUCUAGCCACGUCGUCGUUGUUAUUGUGUGUCUCGUACGUCCCCUCAUGAUGGACAAUUGAAGUCUUUACCUUAAUUAACUGGGCGCCCGCCAACUAAACAGAAGUCAAGAGAAAAAGCACAAGAAAGCAAAAAUUUGAAGAAAACAAAGCAAACCUACAAAGGAACAGCGAUCGAGACGCAAAAUUAGGACCAUGAUGAUAACGUUAUAGAACAGCUUGUGUAGGUACAGACUCUUGC